rnacentral:rRNA from 1 species
UCCUACGGGGGGCAGCAGUGGGGAAUUUUGCGCAAUGGGCGAAAGCCUGACGCAGCAACGCCGCGUGAGUGAUGAAGGCCUUCGGGUCGUAAAGCUCUGUCGGGAGGGAAGAAAUGAUUGAGGGUUAAUACCCCUUGAUCUUGACGGUACCUCCGAAGGAAGCACCGGCUAACUCCGUGCCAGCAGCCGCGGUAAUACGGAGGGUGCAAGCGUUGUUCGGAAUUAUUGGGCGUAAAGCGCGUGUAGGCGGUCUGUUAAGUCUGAUGUGAAAGCCCCGGGCUCAACCUGGGAAGUGCAUUGGAAACUGGGAGACUUGAGUACGGGAGAGGGUAGUGGAAUUCCUAGUGUAGGAGUGAAAUCCGUAGAUAUUAGGAGGAACACCGGUGGUGAAGGCGGCUGCCUGGACCGAUACUGACGCUGAGACGCGAAAGCGUGGGGAGCAAACAGGAUUAGAUACCCCGGUAGUCCC